GUAUAUGCACUUGAGAAUCAGGCUGUAGAAUGAGAUGCAUUGGUAUUAAAAACUAGUCACAUUCACAUAGAUGCAAAAGUAGAGAUUUUGUAUUCUGUAUAUAAUUCUAGAUAUGUCUAAUUUAAACCAAAAAGGCAUACUAUUUUUAUCUGUAACUUUUUUAUCAUAAGGACAUGGGUCUCUAGAAGGACUAAUACUUCCUCAUUUACGGAGGCUAGUAUUCUUACCCAGAAAAAUUUGUUAUUAAGUCAAGGUCAACAAAAAAAUA
rnacentral:misc_RNA from 1 species